rnacentral:rRNA from 1 species
AGAGUUUGAAUCAUGGCUCAGGAUGAACGCUGGCGGCGUGCUUAACACAUGCAAGUCGAACGAUGACUUUUGUGCUUGCACAGAAUGAUUAGUGGCGAACGGGUGAGUAACACGUGAGUAACCUGCCCCUGACUCUGGGAUAAGCCUGGGAAACUGGGUCUAAUACCGGAUAUGCACCGUGGACCGCAUGGUUCUUGGUGGAAAGAUUUUUUGGUCAGGGAUGGACUCGCGGCCUAUCAGCUUGUUGGUGAGGUAAUGGCUCACCAAGGCGACGACGGGUAGCCGGCCUGAGAGGGUGACCGGCCACACUGGGACUGAGACACGGCCCAGACUCCUACGGGAGGCAGCAGUGGGGAAUAUUGCACAAUGGGCGAAAGCCUGAUGCAGCGACGCCGCGUGAGGGAUGACGGCCUUCGGGUUGUAAACCUCUUUCAGUAGGGAAGAAGCGAAAGUGACGGUACCUGCAGAAGAAGCGCCGGCUAACUACGUGCCAGCAGCCGCGGUAAUACGUAGGGCGCAAGCGUUAUCCGGAAUUAUUGGGCGUAAAGAGCUCGUAGGCGGUUUGUCGCGUCUGCCGUGAAAGUCCGAGGCUCAACCUCGGAUCUGCGGUGGGUACGGGCAGACUAGAGUGAUGUAGGGGAGACUGGAAUUCCUGGUGUAGCGGUGAAAUGCGCAGAUAUCAGGAGGAACACCGAUGGCGAAGGCAGGUCUCUGGGCAUUAACUGACGCUGAGGAGCGAAAGCAUGGGGAGCGAACAGGAUUAGAUACCCUGGUAGUCCAUGCCGUAAACGUUGGGCACUAGGUGUGGGGGACAUUCCACG